GCUGGGCAUGGUGGUGCAUGCCUGAAAUCCCAGUAGCUCAGGAGGCUGAGGCAGAAGGAUUGUGAGUUCAAAGCCAACCUCAGCAAUAGCAAGGUGCUAAGCAACUCGGUGAAAUCCUGUCUCUA
rnacentral:sRNA from 1 species